CUGCCCUCCCUUCCCGCGCCGUCUCUCACAGAGUUCGCUUUAUUUUUUUUCCACGGUGUUUUCAUAACGUUAAAAUAACUUUCUUUAGCGUCCCCCGCCUUUUCGUGUAGACUUCGCAGCCCCAGCAAAAAAGCGUUUACCUUUUUAAGCAGUGUUUUCGAUUAUUUCUAAGUUACUGUUUUCAAAUUUUGAUAGGGAUUAUGUAGACUGGUCUCCAGCGUUUAGUUUUGACUUACAUUUUUUGUAGUAUGUAAAAAAUCGGAUCACUUAGCACCCUAUAUUUUAGCGUGGGGGGAAGAAAAAUAAGAAUUUUGGAGUGGAGGCAUCUGCAAAUACAUCUUGACUAAGCCUUUGAUUUUAUCUGUGAUUGGGUUUCACAACAUCCUGUCUGCUCCUUACAAAAUUGGGAAACCUUGGUUUUAAGCAAAUUGUUGAAUAUUUUGUGUUUUGUAAGGAAUUAGUUGUGUAUCAUUCAAACUUCCUUUGUGGUUGUUUCCCCCAGUUUUGUAGCCUUUGGCAUUUUGAGAAUGCUGCUAGAAGAUGGGUUAAUUUACUAACUACAAAGCUAUAAACAUAACACAUGACCCGAAAGUUUUGUAUGAAAUCUGUGGUGAACUCCUUUACGGCGUUAUAUCUUUGAGUCAUUCAAGCAUUUCUUAGAUUAAAAAUAGAGAUUGUAGACAACCAGACCAUAGAGGUCUGUGGCCAGUUUAUAUUUGGGGAAAUAGUGGUUAGCUCAAGCUGGAAGACGUACAUGUUAGAUCUCAGCCUCUGUUAUCAACAAGAGGCUGUGAAAGCAAGAGAUGUACAAAUUACUGAUGUUUGUAGAAAGAGCUGAUUCACAUCCUUCUCUUUUCCCAGCCCAGCAGUCAGUUUAAAUGGCUUGUUGCUGUAGAGCAUGAACCAGCUGAAAAUGUACACAUAAAUCUGCAGACGUCUCAGAAACUGGAGAGAUCAGCAGUUUCUUAGGCCACCCAGGAAGUGCUGAGCGUAGGAGCGGUCCACGUGAGGAACAGGCAAUACAAAGCACGUGUAAGAAACACGUUAGCUCACGGUUUAUGAAGUGGAGUUGAGAAUCUUGGAAGAUUGCCAAGAUCAAAAGAUUCCUUCAGUUGAAGUGAGCUGAAUUCAGCUUUAUCUGCAUAUUGCAGGAAAGCACUGCUGUCGUGUUCCAGCUGCCGAGAGCUCGUGGUUUCUCAGAGGGCAAUUCUCGUUUCACUUUUUCCGUUUAAUCUGGAGGAAUAGUUUUGUCACUGCUCUAACCCUCUGCAGGCAUUCAACUCUGCAAGCAAUGCUGUGCUCCGGCCAGAGACCUGAAAAAGUUGGUCAGCAUCACGCUACUGACAACAAAAAGUAGUCAGGUGUAAAAUGUGAUCUGAUACCCUUCGCAAACUUUCACAAGCAGUGUUAUAAUGAGUUUGUCAGUGUUAAUCAACCAUCUUAACCCGAAAAUAAUGAUAGCUUAGAAGUUUUCUCCACUUUAGAAACACGAAGGUCCCCCUUACCAGUGUGAAACAUCAUUUAUAUCAGGGAUUUGUAAAACUUAGGAAAAACUGAAGGUAUUUAAGAAAAAUUUGAGGUCUCGGGAGAGAUGAGAAGGUGUGACCACUCAGCCUGAGAACAGUUUUCAUCUGUCGUUGUGGAACUAGAGCAUUGAGUACUGCUACUCCAUUGUAGCAUAAGGGAGAAAAAGUGAAAAGUACAUAGAAAUAUCGUACAGUGAUACUCAAAGUGAGGCCAGUGAACAUCGUCUAGAUAAUUUUUUCGUUAAAAAGCUUUGGGAUAUUUGUGUUUCAUUCUGAUUUUCAAGUAGUAGAUGAAAAUACUGGCACAUUAAGAAUAAAAAACCCAACUCAAUGUUUGUUCCAUAUGAUACGUAGCAUGAAGGGUUUCUUUCCUUAUUUUGGCUCCAGAAAAUCAGGAAAAAGCAGAACAUUGCCAAGAUCAUUGCUGGUUUAUACUGACCUACAGACUUGCCCCAUGCUAGUUUAAAGUUAUCCUUGAUAAAUUAAUCAGCAUGCAUCUAAAAGGUCUUUGUCAUUCUCGGGGUGCUCCUGUCAUUCAACACCUUUCAGAACAUCAUCUUGAGGUUGAAGAAGCUAAGUUCUCCCAACAGCAUCUUCUGUCUAGUCCUACUUUUGGUUUUAGGAUGUGUUUAACCUGAUCUGGGCCUGAUUUUCAGAUGGAAGAUUUAAAGUUGAAUGCCUAAGCAAAAUACCAUGAUUUUGUAUUCUGUUAUUAAUCUGUUGAAGAGAAGAAUAGGGUUUUUUUCUAGAGGCAAAUACUAGAAGCUUCCAUUAGGGAACAUCUGUUUCCAGCCCGCAAUAUUAAGAGUACAAUUUUGGAAAUUGAGCCUAAUAUUUAUGGUGCUGCUUCAGUUUACUUCCUGCAGCAUUUGUUAUUUCUUAAGAUAAUUAAAAGUUUCUUUGAGGUCCAUAUUGUAAUUUUAAUGCGGGCAAGCAUUAAAGACCUCACAAGCUUUAAUAUCCACUCUAGAAAUACAUUUGCAACAGAUACUGAAGAAGCUAAAGAAGCCUUCUUCUAUCAAACAUGAAGUCCACUCAGGAUGGAAAGGUCAUGUCUUUUGUUAAGAGCACUGCAAGAUGGCUAAUGGCCACAAAUUCUUCAAGUUCUGUAACUUUUUUUUAAUCUGUUUUGUUUAAUCAAGGCCAGUUUCAGCAGAAGCCUAGCCCAGACCUCUGGUAUUGCGCAUUCCUUCUUGCUCGAGAUUUGCAUUUAGUGAAUGAACCUUUUUCUCAUCCUGCUUUACAUUUUGCUGUGGAAAUGCCAUUACGAGAGACAGGUGGACUUCCGCUCCUUAAAGAGAACUUAAAGAAAUCCUGCCAGAAACCUGUGGACAAAUACAUUGAGUAUGAUCCUGUUAUCAUCUUGAUUAAUGCUAUUUUAUGUAAAGCACAAGCAUACAGGCACAUUCUUUUCAAUACAAAGAUAAAUAUUCAUGGGAAGCUCUGUGUAUUUUGUUUGCUCUGUGAGGCUUAUCUCAGGUGGUUGCAACUACAGGAUUCAAGCCAAAAUACGGAUCCUGAUGACUUAAUCAGAUAUGCCAAGGAAUGGGAUUUUUAUAGAAUGUUUGGUAUAGCUUCUUUAGAACAAACUUCAUUUUUGCUUGGCAUUUUUAUUACGUUAUGGUGGAUGAGACCUGAGAUGCUGAAAACAAAGUCUGACUUCAUUUUACUUCUCAAAGCACUGCUGUUGUCCAGCUAUGGAAAGCUUUUGCUAAUUCCAGCUGUUAUUUGGGAACAUGACUACACGCCUUUGUGCCUUGCAUUUAUAAAAGUGUUUGUCUUGAUAUCAAACUCUCAGGCAAUUAGAGUUACAUUGAACUUGAACCGAAUGCUUCCUUGGUUGGCCAUCAUCUUUGGAUUAAUUUUGGAAAAUGGUGUGGUCUGCUUGUUCCAGAAAAUGGGAUGGGAUGUUUGAAAUGUCAGCCAAGAUCUGAAGAAAUACCAACAUGAUAAUUUUCUAAGAAUGAUCUCUGCCACCAAGCUCCGAAGAUGCUAUUUUCAUAGUGAUAAAGAAGGUGAUAGAUAACAAAAACUUGCAUUAGUGCAGGCAAAGAGAGGGCCCACAAAGGAACUGGCAGAAUUAAUUUCCACAGGAGAGUAAUGAGGACACGAACCUACUUCUUUUGUGCAGACCAGUUUCCAUGAUGUUCUAUGCAAUAUUUAAUUCUCCUGCUUCAGUUCUGGAAGGCUGUACUAUCUACAGGUACUACUUCCAUUCUUCAUCUUCCUCAGAUGCAGGCUCCUAUCUGUGUUUUGCAAAAUGCAUUGAAUAACGUUUUGCAACAUCUUCAAUUCCAAACAGUUUUAGAGUAAGCUUAGAUUAUGACUACAGAAAACAUCAGACAUGUUUGUCUAACGCAGCCGCCUAUGCCACAGUAAGUUUUUUCGGUCAGAAAACCAAAUGGUUGCUCAUUCUGUUUUAACAGGUCAGAGGCUGGCACCGCUCGUGCCAUUUGUGUUACAUUUGACAUCUUCCUGAGCAUGUGAUGGUAUAGGUAGAGAAGGCAAAAAAAACCCCAAAUUGCGACCUCUUUUAAGUACAUGAGACAGUUUAACGCUACAACUGCCCCAGCAAGGACGUAGUUGUGAAGGUGUAUGAGGGAUCCACCUUGCUACUGGUGGGAAUCAGCGGCCAGACAAUUGAGUGUAGGUGUGCAGUUGCUUGCUGGCUGAGCAGCACCUUUGGCAACACAGUACCUUGAACAUGCUUUACUUUACAGAAUUAGAUCUGGAGAGAUAGUCCACCCCCAAAAGCUUUUUUUAAAACCAGCAUGUUGCCAAAGGUGUUUUGAAUAGUGCUCAUCUUCCUCCCACAACGCCAGCACACAGUGUUGCAACAGAGGCUGCAGCUUGAGAGGGUGCAAAGGGGAAAGAGCAGUAGAUCUUUUAGGAAAGCUUCAGGGAUGCUGGUCUGGCCUCCUUUCAUUUUCCUCCUUCACCUUCUGCCUCGAGUUUAAGAGACAAUGAAGCCAUACUGCAGCAGAGAGCAUGACAGAAGAGCAUGUACUAGGAAAAUGCUGGUGCCUGCUGAGCCAAACCCUGUUUAUCAUUGUAGCUGUCAUCUGGCUUUUACCCAGCUCUCUGUUCAUCUUAGCAUGACCUUAGCAUUGCAGCUGAUAAAAGUUUGUCACCACUGUGUAUGUCCCUCUUCAGGAAAUGUACAUUCUUUCUACCAUCAGUUUUGUUUCUCUAAUGAUGUGACAACAGUGCUUUGGUUUGUUCCUCUUAGGUUACAUUUUUUUUUUUUUUUUAAAAAUUAAUCUUCUGUGUCAUGGUUACACACAAGAUUU